UGUGUAGGCGGUUGUUUAAGUUUGGUGUGAAAUCUCCCGGCUCAACUGGGAGGGUGCGCCGAAUACUGAAUGACUCGAGUGCGGGAGAGGAGAGUGGAAUUCCUGGUGUAGCGGUGAAAUGCGUAGAUAUCAGGAGGAACACCGGUGGUGUAGACGGCUCUCUGGACCGUAACUGACGCUGAGACACGAAAGCGUGGGUAGCAAACAGGAUUAGAUACCCUGGUAGUCCCACGCCCUAAACGAUGCAUAUUUGGUGUGGGCCGUUCAGUCGGUCCGUGCCGGAGCUAACGCGUUAAAUAUGCCGCCUGGGGAGUACAGUCGCAAGGCUGAA
rnacentral:rRNA from 1 species